GCUGCUGAGCGCUGAUUGGCUCCGGCUUGGGAAGCGGCAGAAAAGGCCGGCGUGUGGGGCGGGCCUGGGGAAGGGACUCCCGCGGCCCUAAGGUGCUGGCGGGCGUUUGGCGUUGCAGCUGUGUGGGCGCUGGUGCGUGCGAGUAGCGCUCGAAGAAACCCAAAGGCGUCGUGGGGCUGCCGUGUGCCCCAGAGAGCACUGCAGGCCGGGUAGGGGCUAAGGCUCCCCGCAGUCUUCUGUGUGUCGUCCAGUACGCAGUUGAAAUCGUUCUCCAACCUGGCCAGUCCUCCGAGGCCCUUCUCAGGCGACCAGACUCUGUUAACAGAGUCCAUUGCUAAAACUCCUCGUUAGUAUUUACCACUCCUCCAGUCUGUGUUUUGAAGCAGUGGUUUUCAACCACUGCCCGUUUUCAGAAGAAAUCAUCUCAAGCGUCCGUGUGCUGCUAGAAGCCGGGCCGGGAGGUCUUGGUGCCGGACUCCACCCUGCAGCCCUUCCCUUUCGCCACCGCCCUGUGCUUAGAGAAACCUUAGAGUGGAGCAAUGAGUCGCCCUUGACUGAGUAACUCUUCGGGGUCAACUUCUCCUUCCACGCCAAGGAAAGGAUUCCAGGGCGAUGUUUCUGGAAAUAGAGAUCUGACCAAGCCACUGCUCUGGUGAAAAUUCAGUGGGUCCCUAGCACCUAGUGCAGCGGCUCCUAGCCUGAGUAUUGCCGUCUUUCGGUGGGGAGGGGUUGGGUUUUUUUGUAGCAUCUGUUGAUCUGAUCUCCAACAUCCUCCACGUCAAUUCCCACUCCACCCACAUCCCUUAUCCUAUACGUAAGCUUUCCAGCCACGGUGCUGGCUUGGGUGGGGGUGCGUGCGGUGCUGACACCAAAAUGGAGGUCCCGUGUUUCUGAGAGUCUCUUUCAGAGCAAUGCAAACCUGAAACUACUCCUGCCAAGAAACGAUUGCAGCUCUUCCCGGAAAAGUUAAAGCCUUUGAGAAACAAAGCUGAGGUUGAAAGUAUUAGUCCAUUUUAUAGAUGAAGAAAUGGAGGCCCAGAGAGAUCACGUGACUUAGCCAAGUCCACCAACUAAUAUUGGGAAGCUCAGCAGGGUCCUGGGGGCCCACAGGAAUGUGAAUAAACACGCUUGGAAAGUCUGCAGAAUUUCCAGUCCUAGCCUCCUGCUGGUGUGAACCUGGGCUCCUGUGCCUGGGACCCUGGGAGAUUUGGGAUUAAGCCUUAUUUUGCAUUGGGUUUAAUCUCAACAGACACCGAGGGGCACCUGGAGUCCCUGCAAAACCUUGUCUGGUAUCAGCUACCUAUCAGAGGAUGCAGAGGACAAGGUCAGGUAGAGGCUGUUUCCAGUGAGAGGAAGGCAGGGGGAGGGCAUGGAAGGAGCACUGGAAAUGGGGUGGGAAAACCAAAGCUCCCUCCAUGCAGGGCUACUUAGGUGAGUCCCUUCCCUGUCUGGGCUCCCUUCCUUCCUUCCUUCCUUCCUUCCUUCCUUCCUUCCUUCCUUCCUUCCUUCUUUCCUUCCUUUCCUUCCUUCCUUCUUUCCUUUCUUCCUUGCUUCCUGCUCUCUCUGUUGCCCAGGCUGGAGUGCAGUAGCAUGUCCUCGCCUCACUGCAGCCUCGACCUCCUGGACUCAAGCCAUCCUCCCACCUCAGCCUCCUGAGUAGCUGGAGCUAUAGGCGUGUGCCACUACACACGGCUAACUUUUGUAUUUUUUGUAGAGAUGGGGUUUCACCAUCUUGUCCAAGCUGGUCUUGAACUCCUGGGCUCAAGCGAUCUGUCCACCUCAGCCUCCCAAAGUGCUGGGAUUACAGACAUGAGCCACCGUGCCCAGCCUGUGCCUUAGCAUUCUAUCCUAUGACUCAGAGGUAGCUGAGCUCCAUCUUCUAAAAUCAAGUGACCAUCACUGAGGCUGUCUCCUCCCCUAUAAAAUCAGGAUUGUGUUACUCAUUGUAGAAAAACCAGUAACCCCAGCAAGCAAGCUCACCCCCCUGGCUCCACAGACCUCCCCAGUCUCAUCUCUCAAGACUCCUGCCCUUCACAAGAUGCUCUGGCGCACCCCAGCCCUGUGCUCCCUCUCAUUUGGUUUCCUCUGCUUGGAUUGCCCUUCUCACCUUCUUUAGUUGGUGUCUGCUCACCUUCUAAGACUCAGCCCAGUCCUUAUCUCCUCCAGGAAGCCUUCCCCAAUCUCCCUUCCACUGGCUGGGUUAGGUGCUGUCCCUUGGGCUCCUAUCAAGUCUGGGCCAUUGCUGUCCUAAUAAUGUGGCUGAUAAUUUAUAGCUAGUCAUUAGAGUUGUAAUUUAUUGAGCCCUUACUCACAGCCUGCCCCUGAACCAGACCCUUUAUACAGCGUCACCUCAUUGAAUCUGACAAAGUAUAACUCAGCUCCUAGUUCAAAGUAAACAUCUGCCCUGCCAUUGAUCCCGCUGAGGUAACAGAAAUAAAGCCAGCUGUGGAGGUAACACGAAACAGUAGUUCUCCCAAGCAUAGGGUACAGCUAGAAAGUGCCACAACGUGCCUGCCUGCAAUGUGUGCACGUGCGUGCACACGUGUACGUGGAUAAACACGUCUGUGCACGUGUAUGUUGCUUCUCUGGCCAGGCCUGGCUGCCCCACUCAUGUGCACCCAGUUCCUCAUCACUGUCACCCCCGAGGCCCAGGGCCAGCAUCAGAGCAUCCCUGGCUGCUCCCUAACCUCAGCCCUCCCCGCCCAGGGUGGUCCUGGGAUACACAUAGGGGUGGAGGGAAGUGACUGCUGCUGCUGCUGGAUCUCAGAAUACAAAUACUAAUACUAUUACCUAAUGGUCUUUUUAGUGUCCCUAAUGGUCUUUUUAGUGUCUCUAAUUGUAUCUCUUUUUCGUUUCUGAUAUUUUAACUGGGUAUUUCUCUCCAUGACCCUUGGAUAUUCUAGCUAGAGGAUCCUGUGGGGAAAGUGCCGGGCACACAGUAGGGGCUCACUCUUCUAGACGUGUUAUCUAAAACCUGGUUCAUCUGUCCUUCCACGCAGGGCCUAGGGGAUGCCAAAUUCCAGGGUCCAGAAAGAGCUUGGGAUAAAAUGAACAUCCAAGGGGAGGGCUUUGACCUGGGCUGAGUCUGCCUGUGCCGAGUCUGCCUGUGCCAUCCAACUGGAGUCUCAAGUCCUGAGGCAGGACGUCCAGAUGCCCCAGUGCAGGGUCCUCCUGAUCAACACCUGCUCCCCUGUACUCAUUAGCAACCUCACCCACCCUACUCUCAAAGCACACUUGGCUCUCAUAUCCAGGAGCUCUGCAUCUGUAGAUUCAGCAACAGCAGAUGGAAAAUAUUCAGAAAAUAAAUUGGACAGUUAUAUUUCUAUUGAA
rnacentral:lncRNA from 1 species